CAGUCGCCACGGUAAUACGUAGGUCCCGAGCGUUGUCCGGAUUUAUUGGGCGUAAAGCGAGCGCAGGCGGUUUGUUAAGUCAGAUGUGAAAUCCCCGAGCUUAACUUGGGAACUGCAUUUGAAACUGGCAAGCUAGAGUCUCGUAGAGGGGGGUAGAAUUCCAGGUGUAGCGGUGAAAUGCGUAGAUAUGCGGAGGAACACCGAUGGCGAAGGCAAUCCCCUGGACCUGUACUGACGCUCAUGCACGAAAGCGUGGGGAGCAAACAGGAUUAGAUACCCCGGUAGUCCCUGUCUCUUAUAC
rnacentral:rRNA from 1 species